GCCAGCUUAGCUAAGUGGCAUAGUGUGCCACCAUAUUGCACACAUGUUAUGACAAGAUCGGCGGUUCGAUUCCGCUAGUGGGCG
rnacentral:tRNA from 1 species